UCUUUCAAAAUAUGCAAUUAUCAUUUGCGUGCUGUGCGUUAAAUUGCAAUAAAAAAUAUAUAUCUGAAAAACUGUCCUAGGUACAACAGGUUCCCCUAUAUAUUUGACCAUUUGUAAGUAAUUUUUGUAUUUUCCUAUAAUUGCAAAUAAUGUAAAACUUGAUAUAUACCAAAAUAAUAUAAUCAUCUUUUUUUUGUUGUUGAUCAAUCUGAAUACACAUGUUUGUCAGAAUCUGUAGCUGAGACUAUAACCGCUGAAAAUCUGCCUAUUGUUAUUCAAUCGGAAAACCUGUAUUUACUUGAAGCUGUAGCUGAGACUAUUGCUGUUAAAAAUCUGCUUAUUGCUGGCAUGAAUACACAUCUUCAAUCAUCUGGUAAUGAUGUAGAGAUACAUUCAUCAGCAAUCGCUUUCAAUGACUUGGUUACAGG